AACGAACGCUGGCGGCAUGCCUAACACAUGCAAGUCGAACGAGACCUUCGGGUCUAGUGGCGCACGGGUGCGUAACGCGUGGGAACCUGCCCUUAGGUUCGGAAUAACUCCCCGAAAGGGGUGCUAAUACCGGAUAAGGUCUUCGGACCAAAGAUUUAUCGCCUUUGGAUGGGCUCGCGUUGGAUUAGCUAGUUGGUAGGGUAAAAGCCUACCAAGGCGACGAUCCAUAGCUGGUCUGAGAGGAUGAUCAGCCACACUGGGACUGAGACACGGCCCAGACUCCUACGGGAGGCAGCAGUGGGGAAUAUUGGACAAUGGGCGAAAGCCUGAUCCAGCAAUGCCGCGUGAGUGAUGAAGGCCUUAGGGUUGUAAAGCUCUUUUACCCGGGAUGAUAAUGACAGUACCGGGAGAAUAAGCUCCGGCUAACUCCGUG
rnacentral:rRNA from 1 species